AAGACUAUAGACCUGCGGAGUACCUGCGGAAGGAUCAUUACUGAGUUUUGAAGUGGGCUUGAUGCUGGCAUCUUUUUGAUGCAUGUGCUCAGCCCCGCUCUCAAAUCCACUCAACACCUGUGCACUUUCAAAGUUGUAGUCCUCCGUAAUGGGAGUCGCAGGUCUUUUUUGACUUGCUGGGACUGCGCUUUGCCAUUUAUCACAAACGAUAUUCAUUGUUUUGUAGAAUGUCUAGCCUCA
rnacentral:misc_RNA from 1 species